CCGAACUCUUGGUCGACCUGUCGGCCCUGAUGCUGUUGCCCCCGGGGUGGUGGUGGUUGCUUCCUUUGAGAAAGGGAGAGAGAUGCCGCGUCUUAGUAGACCGGCGUUCCCGCUCUGUUUCUUGAGGAACGGCAUUUGGCAUUUUUUCCUGUCGUAUUCUGCGACUCGUUCCGGACAUUAUUCACUUUGUGGGCGACAGUUGGUCGGAUGGCAGAUGCCGGACGGCUGGAUUGAUAACCCUCGGCACUGUUUUAUGGGACUUAUAUUAUGAGUGUGAAAGCGGAUCGGCGCAUUUCAGCUUUCAUUUCUAAACAAACCUAUCGCUUCGAUGCUUUUAGGGGACUAAAAUGCUUCGAUGCUUUUAAGGGACUCCCCCUUACAUUCUAAAAGUUAAAAGAGCUGUUAUCGUUUGUUCUCCAAUACAUUCUUCCAACUAGCGGACCCUGCUCCUGCGGGAAAAAUGCUAGGAGGAGGAGGAUGGUGACGACGACGUGACGGUGAUGACAACGACAUUCUUACAACUGGAAAGGUGGCUGAGGGCUGACUGGAACUGGAUUUAACAUCUGAAGAGCUAGUCCCGAGGCAGGCAUUGAACGCAAUUGCUUCAGGAAUAAAACGAAAAAGACUGCACAAGAUUGUCUUUGUCUCCCCAAAAUAACCAAGAAUGAUUUAAGUUCCACUCUUCUUUCUAGCAGUGGUUAAUUAUCCCUGUAUUUCACAGGCAAUUUCUGUAUCCGAAGCCUAAUUUCUGGGCAUCAAAUUAGAUAGGCAGCUUAAGUAUUUUUGUAACAAAUCUUGUUUCUAUAUCAGAAGAGUUGGGAAUGGGAGCCAGAGGUUUUCUCAUCUGUAGCAAAAAUUAACACAUGAGAGCUGAUUUCCUUCAAAGCAAUUUACUUUUUAAAUAAAUCUGACACUGAUAAUAAAUCAAAGGAAAUUGAAAUGGAAGCAAAAUGAAAAAAGCAAAAGGGGAAUAGGAGUUCCACCUGUGUUAGAUGAGAUUGGGAUUUAGUUUUGGUGUAGACCCAGAUCCAACCUUGAACCUAAGCAGCACUUUUCCAGAUUUGAUUGAUGUGCUAUUUUGGAAUGAAUCUUUUGGCUAAAUGACUUUAGUUAUAUUCAAUUUUGAUAAAAAAAUAUAUAGUGAUGACACAGAAGCUAUGUUCAGACAAUUGCAAUAGAAAAGCUUUUAUUGGAUCAUGUAACCCCCUUAUUAGAAGAUGCUGUCUUAGCUUCCAUUCCAGGCAAAAUCCAAAAUAUUGGUUAUGACUUCUAAAGCCCUAUUAAUUCCUAAGAUUUUAAAUUAGUUUUUCUACAUAGGAACGAUAACAUUUUCAGUAAAAGAUCUUUGUUAGAAUUAAAGCUCUUGGUAAAGAUUUGAGGGUUUUCUCUUUAUCCGUUCCCAUUCUGGAAUUCUUUGUUGUUUCUGGAAUUAUUGUCUAAUUACUGUCUGGUCAUAGCCGUUCUAAAACCUUAUAUUUCUGAGCAAAUUACUGAAUGUGGAAACAAAUAAACUAUUACAUAUAUUUUAAUAAAAUUCCAGUUUGAAAAUUGAACCAGAAA